rnacentral:piRNA from 1 species
UUCAUUGCUGAUGCUCUAGUCACUGUUGC